GGUUGAGUGAAUCUCCAAGUUAUAUAUCUAGCUAGAUUUAUAAUUUCUAUACUUUUUAGGUGUUAAAUGAUAGGACUAUGUGCUGACUCUCAUUGUUAUUUUUAAUACAUGGGACACUUAAUAAAACUAUUUACUAUGUCUCUAAUGUUUCUCUCUCAGCCACUUCUCUCCUUUUUUGAUAAUCCUGUAGGUUACUGGUAGAAAAAGUUGACCUCAGGUGUAUUAACCUUCUGCAUUUAAAGCUGUUUUUCUGUUCAAGUAUCUCCUUUUUCUUCAACCUCUAUUUUGGUUUGCAUCUGAUGGUGUAUUUUCUCUCCUUAUCAUAGCAAAAAAUACCCUUUCCUCUGACUCAGGUUUCGGUCGAUGCUACAGAAUGGAAUCGACUUGAGUAUUAUUCUACUUCUAGACCACUAGUACUUCUUGUAUGUCAGCUUGUUAAAUUUUUUAGUUAAUUAAACCUAAGAAUUUGAGGUUUUCUACGACUAUGAUCUUUGUUUUUGCUUGGUUGUUGCUCAUUUUUCAAUCUGCAAAUGCUAGUGAUUUAAAUAUCUUCUUGUCCCUUCUUCUAUUGCUUUUUUUGUUAGAUUACUUGAGAAAUUCUAUUUUUUUCCGAUGCAGUUUUUGAUUUUGUGGCUCUUUGCUGAAGUGGGAAGGUUUUGUUUCUUUUUCUUUGAAAGAACUUGAUUGAAAGAAGUGUUUGUUCUUGUUUUGAUUGAGUUUAUGUAGUGGCAAAAUGUGUAUGCAAAAGGAAAAAAAAGUUCUCAAGCUUCUGUUAAUAGGGGGUUUGUCUCUUGAAUGUGAUUGUGAUUCGACGGGGUAGUUUUUAGAUUUUCGUAGAGAAAUACACUACAACAAAUUAGCCUUUCAAUAACAUUUUUUAAUAACAUAUAUUAUAACAAGGCAAAUAUCUUGUUUUCUUUAACACUGAAAUUUUUAGUCAAAAAACUUUCUUUUUUUUUUUUUUGCUAAGUUGGACCCAAGGUUUUAACAGGCACAAGGGAGUCUUAUGGCAUUAUAUAAGGUAUGUACUCAAUCAUGCUAUGGUUGAAUACGUAAAUGAUUUUAUUUUUACCCAUAAGUUGUUUCAUUUCAUGUUUUGGUUUUUAGGCACGGUAAAAAAGAUACUUCCUUUAGCAUAUUUCAUGUUGGUUAUUAGGCACAAUAUUUCAUUCAUUUCAUGUUUUCAUUUACUUUUGGUGUUAACAUGUAAUAUUUCAUUUUAGAUGUUACUUAAGUUUACUUUAAAUUGUUAUAGUCUCAAUUUCUUCAUCCUCCAAUUUUGCAAAUCUUCUCUGGUUCCCUCUUUCUCACAAUUCUUCCAUUAACUGCCUUAAAAGAGGAAAGUAAAAUGUUCUAUAAUCAUACUCAUACCACCCUAUUACAUCCUAACAUAAUCUCUCUCUCUCUUUUUUUUUUUUCUUUGUCUCCAACGGACUACGAAGAGAUCCUCUAGUUCAUUUUUACAUUUACCCAAAUUGGGAGCAUAUCCCACAUUUACCCAAGAUAUGUUCUUAGUACGAAAGUUGAUGGCAUUUAUUUAUUUGGUUCAAGGUAUGGAAACAAGUUUAGUUUUAAAAUCUUUAUUGAUAUCUGGUUGAGUAUAUGAUUUUUAGGCAAAAAGCAAGCUAAUUUUAAAGAAAUGAAAAAAAAGCAACUUCCUCACACAUGUAGUCGUAAAGACUAUGCUCGACUAACAUAAGAUUUGGUAUAAUUUUAUGUAAUUAAUAACAUUAUUAUAUUUAGCACAUAUAGCUAAUAUGUAAAUAACUAUUGUGUUUCAAUGUACAAAAACUCUUCUUCUUUAACUUCAAUUACUCGAUUAGAUGCUUGGACAAAGGCACAUGUGAAGAAAGAUGAAAAACCUUUCAAAUCGCAAGUGGCCGAUACUUUGGUUGGUUUAUCUUUUGUAUUUUGUAUUUUAUGUUUUUAUUUUAUUUUUAUAGUAGUUGUCAUUUGAGUAUUGAUUUCUUUAACUGAAUGACGGGUUUGAUGAAGUAUGCUUAGACACCACUUGUUUUGAUCUCUUGUUAGGUUGUUCUUUGACUAGUGAGAUUUAGUUGAAGUAGUUUUUAAGUGUUGUGACUUUCUAUAAUGCCUUCUACCCCCUCCCCAAUGAUCUUUUUCAUUUUCCAUGCUUUGUUUACUGUUAAGUAUUUUGAUUUAUUCAACUUGACUUGUUUGAUGAAUUAUGCUUAGAUGCCACUUGUUUCGAUCUCUUGUUAGGUUGUUGCCCUUUGAGUAGUGAGAUUUAUUUGUAGUUUUUAAAUGUUGUAACUUUCUCUACUGUCUUUCACCCCUACCCCCAAUGAUCUUUUUUUUUUUUUUUUGUCCAAUACUUUGUUUACUAAUUAUUGAUUUGUAGUUGGAUGAUUGUCAUUUGAGUAUAUUUCUUCAACUAAAUGACUUGUUGUGACUUUGUCUCAUCCCCCACCCCACCAUGGCUUUUAAAUAGUUUACUAUGAUUUUUGGUUAGAAGUGUAUUGAACAAGAAAACCUAACCAAAAAUCAUGUGAGAAUGUCUUCUUCGAGUAGUAUAAUUGAAGAUGCAAUUAGUAGAGUUUUCGAUCCCGAUCAAGGCUAUGUAAGAGGAUUAGGAUUUUGUGUGACUCGAUCGAAGGUGUCUACAUCAAUUCAAAAAGAUAAAACCAUUGCAUCUCUUGAAAGAAAAUGUAACAACUUAACGUCAGAUGUAGAUGAACUGAAAAAUAUAGUAGCUUCCUUACCCAAAGCACAAGAUAAAUUUGUCCUAACACUCUUAAAAAAGUUCUUAAACUAUGUUUUAUAGUACAUUUUGACAUUGUUGUUUAUAUAGGAAAAAAAAAGUGAACAAAAUUUGAAAAAGAGUAGCAUCAUCGAAAGAUAUUCUUACUCCUACUCUAAUCAUAAAUUUUUCACCAGUAAAUUUGUUUGUAACUUUUUUGUUCCUUUAUUAUUUUAAAUUAUUAUUGUUUAAUAUUUUUUUAACCAUAUUAUUGUUGAAAAAGAGUGUUACUACCAGAACUCCCUAUAAGCGUUUGCUACUAGAUUGGCCGGAUUGGUUCAGGAGAAGCCAUUGUUGAAGGUAGGAUCCAUCAAUUCUAGUUCACCAUGUUCCUCUUGACCCCAAUGUAGUUUGUGUGUGAGUUGAUACAACGAGAAUACCAAAUUCCUUCUUGUGGAGACCUACCUCUGACAUUAUUGUUAUUGACAAUGUUGUGAGCACUAUUGUAGCAUGGCCAAUGGAUUAAGCCAAACUAUGUGAUUGAUAUGAGGAGAAAACAAUGGGAGCAACACAUACAUGUCGAAUAAUUUUGGUAUUGCUAUAAUUUAAACAUCUUUUCUUAUCCUAUCAAACUUUUGAGAUUAUAUAUAUGAAGUCAUUUUAUUUGAAUUGAGAAAUUUCUUGUUCUGGUAGUUGAGGACUUUGUUGGAACUUAGUGAUAGAUUAUUUUAAACUUUUGAAUGUAUAUAAUGCUUUUUUUUUUUUUUUGUAUGUUAUAAGUUUGAAUAUUUUAAUUGUAAUUAUGAUUGUAGAUUUGGAUGAAUGUGAAUUAUACCUUCCUAGUA